UACGGGGGGUGCGAGCGUUGUCCGGAAUCACUGGGCGUAAAGGGCGCGUAGGUGGCCUGAUAAGGGUGUGGUGAAAGUCCGGGGCUCAACCCCGGAUCUGCCGUGCCGACUGUUAGGCUAGAGUACUGUAGGGGCAGGCGGAAUUCCAGGUGUAGCGGUGAAAUGCGUAGAUAUUUGGAGGAACACCGGUGGCGAAGGCGGCAUCCUGGACCAAUAUUGACGCUGAGGAGCGAAAGCCAGGGGAGCAAACGGG
rnacentral:rRNA from 1 species